GACGAACCGAGCGAACGUUGUUCGGAAUAACUGGGCUUAAAGGGCUCGUAGGCGGCCAACUAAGUCAGACGUGAAAUCCCUCGGCUUAACCGGGGAACUGCGUCUGAUACUGGAUGGCUUGAGUUUGGGAGAGGGAUGCGGAAUUCCAGGUGUAGCGGUGAAAUGCGUAGAUAUCAAGUGGAACACCAGUGGCGAAGGCGAGUCCCUGGACAACUCCUGACACUGAGGCACGAAAGCUAGGGGAGCAAACAGG
rnacentral:rRNA from 1 species